rnacentral:rRNA from 1 species
CGGCAGCAUGGAGAGCUUGCUCUCUGAUGGCGAGUGGCGAACGGGUGAGUAAUAUAUCGGAACGUGCCCAGUAAUGGGGAAUAACUAAUCGAAAGAUUAGCUAAUACCGCAUACGAUCUACGGAUGAAAGCGGGGGAUCGCAAGACCUCGCGCGAUUGGAGCGGCCGAUAUCAGAUUAGGUAGUUGGUAGGGUAAUGGCCUACCAAGGCGACGAUCCGUAGCUGGUCUGAGAGGGGGAUCCCCCACACUGGUACUGAGACACGGACCAGACUCC